rnacentral:lncRNA from 1 species
CAUCCCACUGGAACAGUCACACCUGCUGGAAAAGUCACACCUGCUGAAAUACUAGAGCUGCUGUAAGCCCUGAGGAGCAUGUGCUUCUCCCAAAAUGUUUCAUGGACUGUUCUUUCCGCUUCCUUACAGGUUGGACACAUCCUCAUAUCAUGUCAAAAGCAGUUCUUGGAAGGAUAAAAGAAAGAGUUUGAGAGGAGUGCCAAAGCAAGAGAAUAAAAAGGUAUCUCACCAUAAGAGAAAAGUCCUAAACUCCUACUCAAAAAGUCCUAACUCCAGAGCUAAUACCAUUUCUUAAUGAGGCCACACAAGGAGAAUGUGAGUGAGGUAAGUCAUUCCAAGGAUAUUGGAAGAAAUGAGGCAUGAAAUAAAAGCCUUCCUGCACUAUCUGCUGAUCCUCA